rnacentral:tRNA from 1 species
ACUCCUGUAGCCCAAUUUGGUAGAGGCAGCUAUCUCAAAAAUAGUUGAUGUGUGAGUUCGACUCUCACCAGGAGUACCA